GUGUUUUUUUAAGACUGACACAGUGCUUCAGAGGCUAACAUGGAAGGGUAAAGUAAGUCUGUUUAACACACAGCAAAAAGAUUGUCCAAUUCUUUUUUGGAUCUUGUCUGGAUACACAGCU
rnacentral:snoRNA from 1 species